rnacentral:pre_miRNA from 1 species
CGGGGCAGCCACCGUCCCUGUCCUCCAGGAGCUCACGUAUGCCUGCCUGUGAGCACCUCGAUGACAGAGCCGGUGUCCACCCCUGCACUGCC